AACGAACGCUGGCGGGAGGCUUAACACAUGCAAGUCGAGGGGCAUCACGAGGUAGCAAUACUUUGGUGGCGACCGGCGCACGGGUGAGUAACGCGUAUGCAACCUACCCUGUACAGGGGGAUAGCCCGGAGAAAUUCGGAUUAAUACCCCAUAAUGAUAUUUUAUGGCAUCAUAACAUAUUUAAAGCUCAGGCGGUACGGGAUGGGCAUGCGUAACAUUAGCUAGUUGGUAGGGUAAUGGCCUACCAAGGCGACGAUGUUUAGGGGUCCUGAGAGGGUGAUCCCCCACACUGGUACUGGGACACGGACCAGACUCCUACUGGAGGCAGCAGUGAGGAAUAUUGGUCAAUGGGCGCGAGCCUGAACCAGCCAUCCCGCGUGAAGGAAGACUGCCCUAUGGGUUGUAAACUUCUUUUCCAGGGGAAUAAAAUCUCGAACGAGUUCGGGACUGAAGGUACCCUGGGAAUAAGCAUCGGCUAACUCCGUGCCAGCAGCCGCAGUAAGAC
rnacentral:rRNA from 1 species